GCCUGAAGCCUCCAGCAGUCCAGUCGCAGUUCUCCAGCUUCUACCUCGGGUCUCUUCAACAUCUUGACGUCCUCCCUCGUAAAGCAUCAAAUACAUAAGCUAAUAUAGGUAGUAUUUAUACAUAUAUAGAAAUGACAGUAAUCCAACUAA